rnacentral:rRNA from 1 species
AUUGAACGCUGGCGGAAUGCUUUACACAUGCCAGUCGAACGGUAGAGGGGGCAACCCCUCGAGAGUGGCGAACGGGUGAGUAAUAUAUCGGAACGUGCCCAGUCGUGGGGGAUAACGUAGCGAAAGUUACGCUAAUACCGCAUACGACCUAAGGAGGAAAGCGGGGGAUAGCAAGACCUUGUGCGAUUGGAGCGGCCGAUAUCAGAUUAGGUAGUUGGUGGGGUAAAGGCUAACCAAGCCAACGAUCUGUAGCUGGUCUGAGAGGACGACCAGCCACACUGGAACUGAGACACGGUCCAGACUCCUACGGGAGGCAGCAGUGGGGAAUUUUGGACAAUGGACGCAAGUCUGAUCCAGCCAUUCCGCGUGCAGGAUGAAGGCCCUCGGGUUGUAAACUGCUUUUGUACGGAACGAAAAGGUCUCUCUUAAUACGGGGGGCUCAUGACGGUACCGUAAGAAUAAGCACCGGCUAACUACGUGCCAGCCGCCGCGGUAA